rnacentral:rRNA from 1 species
UACGUAGGUGGCGAGCGUUGUCCGGAUUUACUGGGCGUAAAGGGCGUGCAGGCGGUUUGUUAAGUGCAGGGUGAAAGCUCCCGGCUCAACUGGGAGAGGUCCUUGCAUACUGGCGAACUCGAGGGAGGCAGAGGAAAGUGGAAUUCCCGGUGUAGUGGUGAUAUGCGUAGAUAUCGGGAGGAACACCGGUGGCGAAGGCGGCAUUCUGGACCGACAUUGACGCUGAGGAGCGAAAGCCAGGGGAGCAAACGGG